rnacentral:rRNA from 1 species
AGGACGAACGCUGGCGGCGUGCUUAACACAUGCAAGUCGAGCGGAAAGGCCUUUCGGGGUACUCGAGCGGCGAACGGGUGAGUAACACGUGAGUAAUCUGCCCAUCGCUUCAGGAUAGCCAUCGGAAACGGUGAUUAAUACUGGAUAUGACAUUCCUUCGCAUGUUGGGGUGUGGAAAGUUUUUUCGGCGGUGGAUGUGCUCGCGGCCUAUCAGCUUGUGGUGGGUAAUGGCCUACCAAGGCUUUGACGGGUAGCCGGCCUGAGAGGGUGACCGGCACGACGUCGGGACUGGAGACGACCGGCCCAGGACCUACCGUAACGGGGACGGUC